rnacentral:lncRNA from 1 species
GCUGGAGGUCAUCCCUGCAGGAGCCACCUGCUCCAAGCACUCACGCCUGGGGAGAAGGGCCCGUGGAAGGUGAGAGCCUGGCUGGGCUAUGCAAACUGAGACUCAAAGCCUCUCAUAUCCCAUCUUCCCAUUGGAUGUCCCUUUCCUCAGCCACUGCCCUGACCCUUCUUGUCAUGAGAGGAGAGGGAGCUCCCUGUGGGCCUGUGGAGACUGGAGAGACUCGUGCUCUAUGGGAUCCCCCUACCUACCUGGGCCAGGACACCAUGGCAGCCAAUUCUAUUUCCUCUGCCUGGCCUAGGGGCCUGAGCUCACAGCCACCUUCUCUCUGCCCAGAGGGCAGCAGCCAGGGCAGUCCUGUGACACGCCGCCCCCCCCCCCUUACAGUUCCCAUGGCAUCCCAAACUGAAACUGAAUUUGACGCAUUCUCUUAUUUCCUUGUUCCUUUUGGCACCUGGGUCACUGCCAUCCUGGCCCCAAAUGCCCAUUGGGCCAGCACCCUCUGGAGUUAGGGACCCACCCAGGCAGACUCAGAGUCUGACAGUGUCGGAGCUGGAAGGGACUGGAGUGGCCAACUAGUCCAACUUCAUUUCACAGACAAGGAAACUGAGGCAAAGUUGGGAGCAGCUGCCCAAGGUCACACAGCGGUGAGACUGUCCAGGUUUUAGAAUCUUGGUGACCUGAACCGAAUCUCUGAGCCGAAAAGAUACCCACACAGAGAGCCCCUGGGAUCAAAAUCCAGAGGUCCUUCUGUCCAGUCUCCUGACUCCAAAGGGCUGGUGACAACAGUGGUCACUGCUACCCCAUAACCUCUGGUGUGUGUAGUUAUCACCCUGGCUGCCCAUUGACAAAUCCAGCCCAGUGCCCUCCCCGGCCCCAGCACCAGUUUUUACUCACUGACUUAACAUAGGCCCUCAUGUAAACUGUUUCCCCUACUAGAGCCUCAGUGUAUUCACCAGGGAAAGGGGGGAGAAUGAGCCCAGUAGAUUCUUCUUCACAGUGGUCUUAUAAAGCCAAAAUGGGAUUCAGAUGCCAAAGCACUUGGGGUGGGACUGUGUGAGGCCCUUGCAAGGUAAUGGGGAAGGGCGAUCUGCACUAGAGACAUUUGGCUCUACUCGGGCCAGUGGCUCUGGCGGCCAGUGGCUCGGGCUCUGUCUUGCCCCGCCGACCUCUGAGCCAAGCAGAUUCUGGCUUUGCUGACACCUUCCCUUAUCUGGAGGGUUCUCCUUCCGGCCCUUGGUGCACCCAUCGCACCACCUUCCUUUUAGGAAGAGUCAAUGCCCUUCUGGUUUGGGAAUCAGAUGGAACUGGAUUCAAAUCUGCACCAGCCAGCCUGCUGUAUCAGUCUUGGUCUCAACAGCUGCCCCUCCUGUUAGGAAAAGUCUCAGAUCCUUCAAAUGGCUGAUAAGCCCUACAUCUAUGUUCCUGGAAGCGUCCUCCUCUGGCUACCUGCCUCAGCAUCACUUGGGGAAAGAGGUCAAUGUGCAGGUUCUCCAGCUGUGGCUCAGUGGGGGGGGGGGGGGGGAGGCUCCAAAGCCAGCAUUGAAAUCAGCACCCACCCCCCCGCAAAGAUCCUCAUGCCCAUGGAGUUUGAAAACCUCAAAGACCUGACACGUACCCACCUCUCCAGCCUCCUCUCACUCUUCCCUUCCCCACAUCAAUCCCUCUGGCCUUCCUUCAGAUCCUUGAUUAGGCAUAGUUUCUAUCCACCUCAGGGUCUUAGUACAUGCCAUUCCUCUGCCCACAGCUGUCUUGCCCCAGCUCUGCCCAGCUGACUCAUGCUCCCCCUUAGCCCCAAUUUAGGCAUCCCUCUCCCUGCCUCCCCACCCCACUUAAGUAAAUGCUCCCACUGUGUGUCCCUGGAAUGCUCUCUACUUCUCCUUCAUUGCACUAUCACAGUGAUAAUCAUUUGCUUGCCUUCUGUUUAAUAUCUCCUUCUGGACUGGACUGAUGAGGGCAGAGACUGGCAGUCUUGCUCCCCGCUGCCUUGAUCUCUGCUUCUAGCCCCAUAACUGGCACAGAUAGGCACUCGAUAGACAUUAUUUGUAUUAAAGAACUAACCUCCAUGUUUAAUUUUCUCAGCUGUAAAAAAGGAUAAAAAAGACCCAAGGAUUAAGGAUAAUAUAUCAAAAUGCCAAACACAAUAGAUGCAUAAAACGGUAGCUUAAGAAAAUGACAAGACAAAUGGGACCAGCAGCACAAAAGAGCCCACACAGAGCUUUACGGAGAGAGCAGCGAGGACAUUUUCUCCAGGUUGGAUGGUUCCGUUUCCUUCUCCCGCCUGUGCAUCAGGUGGCCUCAGGAGCCUUUGGCUGCCUUCCGGUGGGAGAGGGUGGAAGGCAGAGGUUUGGGCCUGGACCUGCCUGCUACAGAGCCAGGCCCCAUCUGGGAGCCGGCCGAGGCCCAGAGUUGCUGUUGAGGAAGAUGGCAAGAGGCGGGCAAUGCCUGUGCAGCACACACAGGCUGGCUUCCCUCUGCUCUAGCGGAAUGGACGGUGGCAGGCUGAGGGCCUUUGGUGAAUGUGAGUCCAGCUGGCCCUCAAGCCCGCACUCACGGGCAUUACAGCUUCAUCACGACAGCUGUGCCAACUCAUCUCAUCCCACCAGACCAAGGGCUCCCCAUGGCAGGCGACUGGGACUUAUUCUCCAGGUGCCUCUCCUGCACCCAGCACACAAUGGUGCUCGCUUAACGAUCCCUAAAUGAACUUAUGGAUUAAUUGAUAAGUAAGACGGCCCAGCAUGGUGGCCUCGGUCACGGGAGAGGAGAGGGGUGUAUGUGUCACACUUUCAUGAACCAAGGGGCUGGAGAAAGGAUGACUUCAGAAGCGGCAGUGGAAAGCGAUGGCCUCCAAACCUGGGAGUAGAGGGUGGCUGAGGAGUUGAGUAGGGGGAGGCCGGCCUGGACUCUGGCGUGACAUGGUAGCUUCCAUCCCUUGGCUUAGCCAGGGCUGGGUAGCAUUUGGUGGGGCUAUUGUGGGGGGCUACUGUCUCAAAUCGUUUUCAAACUACAACCUACAUAAAAUACAGUUCACGUUGUUGUCCUCCACACAGGCACACGCGAUUGUUUUAAGGGCUGGUGCUGGCCCACUCUGUUGGCGUGAGGGCCUAUCCCCCGAUCUCAGGGUAAGCCUGGGGAAACCACUGCGCCAGCUGGCCCGUAGGCCCUGUCAGGCCUGGAAUUCUGUGGCCUGAGAAAAAGUCAUGUAAGAAGACAAACCUUCAUUUGAAAAACUCACAGGGCACCUGGGUGGCUCAGUCACUUAAGCGUCCGACUUCAGCUCACGUCACGAUCUCACAGCUCGUGAGUUCGAGCCCUGUGCUGACAGCUCGGAGCCUGGAGCCUGCUUCCGAUUCUGUGUCUCCCUCUCUCUGCUCCUACCCAUCUCGGGCUCUGUCUCUCUCUCAAAAGUAAACAAACAUUAAAAAACAACAUUACAAACAUACAAACCAUGUUUAAACAUUUUACUUCACAAUUUUUGACUUUUCCCUGAUUGCUGUAUAUUUUUCCACAGGAUCAUUUUUAAUGAAUGCAUUAUGUUCUUUUGUACGAGUGUACGAGAACUUAAGCAAAUUGCAGCACUGCUCCGUUAGGCAGUUUCCAGUUUUUGCCUUGUACAUACGUCUUUGUAUACUUGGCCUGUGAUUUCCUUUGGAUGAAUUCCUAGAAGUGAAUUUCGAAGAGAAGUAAAACCUUAAGACUUUCACUAUAUUUUAACAAAUUACUUUCCAGAAAUGUACCAAUUUAUAAUCCUAGAAGAACUAUGAGAGUCCCUUUCUCCGUAUGUUUAUCAAUCCUGGGUAUUGUCAUUUAUUCCAAAUCUUUACAAAUGGAAAAAUUUUUUUAAAGUAUCUUGUUUUGGGCAUCUGGGUGGCUCAAUCAGUUAAGUGUCUGACUCCUGAUUUCGGAUCAUGAUCUCAUGGUUCAUUAGAUCGAGUCCCACAUCCUGCUUGGGAUUCUUUCUGACCCUCCCCAGCUCAAGCCCGUGUGCUCUCCCUCAAAAUAAAUAAAUAAACUUUAAAAAAGAGUAUCUUGUUUUGAUUUGCAUUUCUUUAAAUACUAGUAGGAUUGAAAACUUCCAUAUAUUUUUGUUUUUUCAUGUCUUGGUUCCCCUUUUUAAUUUUAUUUUUAUUUUUUACUAAAAAAAGUUUUUUAAAUGCUUUAUUUAUUUUUGAGAGAAAGAGGCAGAGUAUGAGUAGGGGAGGGACAGAGAGAGAGGGAGACAUGGAAACCAGAGCAGGCUCCAGGCUCUGAGCUGUCAGCAGAGAGCCCAAUGCGGGGCUUGAACUCAGGAACCGUGAGAACAUGACCUGAGCCGAAGUCAGACACUUAACCAACUGAGCUACCCAGGUGUCCCGCUAUUUUAUUUUAUAAUACUAUUAUUACUUUGUAAUAAUAUAUUAUAUAACAUUUAAUAUAUAAAUAAUAUAUAUUAUAUACUUAUAAAUAUAUAAAUAACAUAUAAUAUACAAUAUGUAAAUAUAUAUAAAUGUUAUAAAUAUAUAUAUUAAGGAUAUCAUAUCUUUUAAAUAUGUUGCAAAUAUUUUUCUUGAGCUAUUUAAAAUUGCCUUUCAAGUUAACCUAUGCUUUUUGUUUUUAAAUACAGGUUUAGCCUUCUUUUGAAAUAUUGCCAACUGCAUUCAAAAGCCAAUAAUGAUCAUGUUUGGGUUUUGUACAUUAUUCUACUCUUCUCACUGCCGCCUCCCUCCCCACAAUGCAGAAGCAGAUAAUCGAGAGCUUCGUGUGGUUGGCAAGACUUACCUCAUUUUCCAACCUCUUACUUUCUCUGCCCCUCUCUAGGUCAUGGUCAGGCUAGGAGCAUAUAGUUAAACAGCUGGGUCACAGAAGGAAAGCUAAAUAUGGAUAUUCUGUGACCUGGAUUACCCACCCGUGUAAUCCCAAUGGCAGUGAUACUGACGACUUUGGCCCCACUCUCCUUUCAGGGCACAAAGACUGGCCUCCCAACCCUGCCGCUAGUGGGACAGAGGGGCUGGCCUGCACUCCUCCUGUGCCCACCUCACUCCUGAGGGACUUUUAGGAAGACUCCAUGGUGGAAACACCCUCAGAAGACCUGCCUCUUUCUCACAAGCCCCAGGGCCCACCUACCUUUCCCUCUCUCACUGUGUGAAGAAACCACAGGCUUUUUUGCCUUUGGGGGAUAUCGAGUAGCAAGAGUGAAAAAGUUGUGGAGAAAGACAGACCUGCAUUCUCAUUCUGGCUCUGGCUCCUGUUAGCUGCAUAUUCCUGGAUGAGUUACUUAACCUCUGGGCACUCAGAGACACUAAGGUGCAGGCAAAUAAUUUACUCACAUAUAUGAGGCAGAACAGCCAGCAAGCUGUUGUCCAUGAAUAAAAGCAAAAAUAGGAUUUUUAAAAAAAAAUUUUUUUUUUUUUUUUUAAAUUUUUUUUAUUUAUUUUUGGGACAGAGAGAGACAGAGCAUGAACGGCGGAGGUGCAGAGAGAGAGGGAGACACAGAAUCGGAAACAGGCUCCAGGCUCCGAGCCAUCAGCCCCGAGCCUGACGCGGGGCUCGAACUCACGGACCGCGAGAUCGUGACCUGGCUGAAGUCGGACGCUUAACCGACUGCGCCACCCAGGCGCCCCAAAAAUAUGAUUUUUAAAAUUUGUUUAUUUUGAGAGAGAGAGAGAGAGAGUGGGGGAGGGGCCGAGGGGAUGGGGAGAGAGAACCCCAAGCAGGCUCCAUGCUGUCAGCUCAAUCUCACAAACUGUGAGAUCAUGACCUGGGCUGAAAUCAAGAGUCGGAGGCUUAACCAACUGAGCCACCCAGGCACCCCUCAAAAAUAGGAUUUUUAGGGGUACCUGGGUGGCUCAGUCUGUUGAGCGUCCGACUUCGGCUCAGGUCAUGAUCUCCCACUUGGUGGGUUGGAGCCUCAUAUCGGCUCUGUGCUGACAGCUCAGAGCCUGGAGCCUGCUUUGGAUUCUGUGUCUCCCUCUCUCUCUGCCCCUCCGCCAUUCACACUCUGUCUCUCUUUGUCUCUCAAAAAUGAAUGAACAUUAAAAAAAAAUUUAAAUAGGAUUUUUUAAAGAGGAGAGAGAGAGAAAAGGUCAUCUGGGAACUGAUUUUGCUUUAUUUUUUGUUAUUUGGUCAACUGAUAGGUGGGUGGCUGGGUGAGGGGUCCUUUGGGUAGUCUGCCCGGAGCAGGCUGGCUGGAACAAUGGGAGCCAGCAAUUUUAGUUAUUUCCAGAUUCUCUGGGAAGCGUGAGAAUCUAGCCAUGUGGUUUAUGGGAUGGCAGACUCUGUAGCGUUCAUCAGCUUCCCUUUGGUUAGCCAGGCUCCUCUUUUAGGCUGGUUCUCCCCAUUCCCUCAUGGGAAUCUCAUAGUAACCGCCUCCUUGUUAUUACUGUGAAACCUUUACAUGUCAACACCUGCAAGCGUUAGAGCAGGACGGUCGGGUCUGCUAUAAGGCUUGUUUCAGAAAUGCUAAUCUGUUCCACUGAGACUGAUAUAUUUCGGGACAGUUCGAACCUGCCGCCAAUUUUGCUUUUGCUUAUGAAUGAUUUCAUCUUCAAGAAACACUAGGCAAAAGCAAAAAACCUGCACCCAGUGAAUGGAGCCACCUAAGAAUACAAAAAACUCACAUUUGCCCACAGACGUCUCCCAGCUACCUCAGUUCACGGUGUGUGUUGUGAGCAACAUCCUUGCACAUCUGACAUCUGAUGUCGGCUAGCUCUCCUUCCACACUCCGCUUUAACACACAGCGCUGCUCUUCCAACACCAUCAUCCACAGGCAACUUCAGAUCUUCCUCAAGGUACAGUGCCAUAUUUACUGUAGUAUGAGUGUCUUUCUUAGCCAUUUAACGUGCAAAACUGUGCUACUGUUUUCACUAGGUAUAUUUUUAAUGCCAUUUACAAGUUUUUGAGUGUUGUGACGCUAGCCCCAUUUUCCCCAUGAGCCCUGUGGUUUUUAUCCCACGAUUUUGCAGAGGAUGAUAGCCAGGACCAGCUACAAAAUUCGUGGGACCCAAUGCAAAAUGAAAACGUGGGGCCCCUUGUAAAAAAAAAAAAAAUAAAGAAUAUCAAGAUGGUGAUGGCAGAGCAUUUGACCAAACUUGGUGCUCUCCUAGGCACGAGGGCCCCAUCUGACUACACAAGUCAAGCCAGCUCUGGUUUCAGUAGAAUUUGACCAUACCAGCAUGUGAUAAAUCCUCAAAAUGUUCGUUGUCAUUACUUUUGUGGUUUUAAAAAAAUGUUUUCGCUAUUUUCAGGCUAUAAGGCAGAAAUUCUAUAAAGACCCAUUUCUUCACCCAUCCAGUUGACAAACAUUUCUUGAGAAUCUACUGGGGAUGGGGCACUCUACUGGGCACGGAGACCUGGGAGAAGGGAGUAUAUGGUGCUUGAAUCAGUCAUCCUAGUAAACCUAAGGCUGGGAAAGAACCAACGACCCAUGCCAGGGGACCUUGGUUUCCCCAGGUCUUGGCUCUUGGGAGACAAUUCUCCAUCGGCCUCUUGAUUUUUUUGUAAGUCUCAGGAGCAGAAAUAUAGACAGCCUUUUGUUCUAGAUUAUCUCUUCAAGGGUGUGUAUAUGGUGAACAGCUUUGAGAGAUGAAAUAUUGUCUCCUUCUGGGACAGAAGGCAGAUUUAGUUGCUGUCCAACAUAAUAAAGAUAAUAUUUACAUCUGGGAAAUGGUGAGUAAGUUUUCUUGCAGCCUCUUAAAAAGAUUGGGGUUUCCUAAAAUCAGGGUUUCUCAGCUGUGAUGCAAGCCCAUUGUGUCACAUAACUCACUUGGGCCUACCUCUUGGUUGCCCCUGUAGGACUUAGGGGGCCAGGGAAGCCACUGUGAACAUGAAGUUUAUGCUACCUGCUCUGUCAGGAGAAGUCCUUUGUUUCUGACCUCAGAGUCUCAUGUCUUCUGUCAGCAUCCAUGAUACUGUGGCAGGCCCUUCACAGUUCUUGACAUCAGGUAGGUAUGCCUUUUCAGCUUGGUAAAUGGACUGUGAAACAAUGGUCCUCAGGACAGUCCAGAAGAGAGCCAGAGGAAAGACAGAGCUGGGGCCCUGGGCACCUGGGGGGCCUCAGGUAGUACCUAAGCAGGAGGGCAGGUAAGGAAGCCAAGGUUUGUCUGGGUAGAAAAGGUUUUGGCCUGAUGAAUAAGCUUCAGCCAAACCUAAAGCACUGUGAAGACCAGCCAGGGAGAGUGGGAGACAGAAGAACUGACUGCAGAGCAGAAGAAGCUGGGGCAAGAAUCCCUGGGACAACAUGAGGGCUGGCCUCCUCCUCAGCAAGAUGGUGUGGGCUUCCUAGGGGCCUAGUCAGAGCUUCUUGAGGUGGGUGGGAGGUGGUCACAAAGCCAGAGAAGGGCCUAAAAUCUUGAAGCAUUUUUGGGGACCAGAGGGUAGCUAGAAGUCUCUGGCCAAAGCUGUUCCUGCAGAAAGCCCCCUCUCAAGAUGAGAACUUUCACAUUCUGGUUCCCACCCAUCUCUCUCUCACUCCUCUCCAUGAACUCAAAGUCCUUCAUCCCUGGUAGAAAACCCUGGUAGGGUAGAGACACUCACCCCUACAAAUCCCUCAAAAACAAGUGUCCCCUACACGAAGCAACCCCACCCACCUCGUAGCACAGCAAGAUGGGAGCCAUCACUUCUUACAAAGCAGGUCCCCAGGAUGCUCCUCUCACCCCUCAAACUCUUCUCUGCAAUUUCCUCCUUUCUGAGGCUUCUCAACCCCAGGCAGGUAUUCUGGAUUCCAUCCAGGUACCCAAUAGGUUUUAGCCACAUUGGAGGGAAUUUGGGUGAGUCAGCUACUAGUGUUUGUCACAUUUCUCAUGGUGCCACACAGGUUGGCAGCAUUAAACCACCAAUGCAUCCAUGAAUGACUCUGGUUUCACCACCUCAUUUAUUCUUCACACUCCCUCAACACCCACACCUGGGUCACACCCACAGGGGCUAGACUCCCUAUCUGCUUCCAUCAGAAUAACCGUCGUCCUGUGUCCCAGAAACCCUGGACACCGUAGCCCUUUCCUGCAGUUUAGUAGUCCAAGAUCUGGCUUUGAGUGGAUGUCCGAUCGGAGCCGGUAAAUUUGCUCAGCACUCCCCUCCUUGUCUUCCCAUUUUCUCCUUGCCUUCCUCACCUUCUGUUUCAUCUGAUAAAAGGCUAUAUGUUCAGCCCUGAGAAGUGUUUAAGAAGUCAUGGGUUGUGUUUUUUUUAAUGCAUUGAUCAUUUAUACAGAAACACAGACACACAGAUGUGAAUAAAAACAUAGUGAAUUUGAAUUUUGCCUCUUUUUCCCACAUCAGGCUGGUGGGGAAGGAAGAAGAGGCUCUAACCAAAGAACAAGAGUUGUGUUUG